CUCAUAUGUCUUAGUGUUUUCCAUUUUUUUCUCUUUUCCAUUCACAGCAAUUUUUAACGUUCAGGUCUGCUUUCUUUACUACAAAGCUGAUAUCUUCACAGAACUGCUUCCCAGGACUCCCAGAUCUUACUUCUGAGAGUAAGCAAGCAAUAGAGCUGGAAAACUUGGCAGUGAACUCUUUCCUGCUUGUAUCCAUGGAACCUGGAUCUUACAAGGUAUAUAAAUAG
rnacentral:lncRNA from 1 species